rnacentral:misc_RNA from 1 species
GAAAUGCGAUAAGUAAUGUGAAUUGCAGAAUUCAGUGAAUCAUCGAAUCUUUGAACGCACAUUGCGCCCCCUGGUAUUCCGGGGGGGCAUGCCUGUUCGAGCGUCAUUUCACCACUCAAGCCUCGCUUGGUAUUGGGCGACGCGGUCCGCCGCGCGCCUCAAAUCGACCGGCUGGGUCUUUCGUCCCCUCAGCGUUGUGGAAACUAUUCGCUAAAGGGUGCCGCGGGAGGCCACGCCGUAAAACAACCCCAUUUCUAAGGUUGACCUCGGAUCAGGUAGGGAUACCCGCUGAACUUAAGC